rnacentral:lncRNA from 1 species
GUACAGACUGCUGCCACACAGGCUGGCUAGGUCGCUCUAUAAGUAAGGCUUUUCCCUAUUAGAUACCCUUAUAUUUCUACUUGGCUCUGUAUUGGUAAUUUCCCACUGUAUAUGGUUAUAGUUUUCUUCAGUUAUUAUAAAAGAUAAGUUAUCCUUCUUUUUAUUUAGACAUAAAAAAGGAGAUGAUGGGGAAUGAACUUCUUUGUAUGUUUAUCUUAUUGAUUAUUGAAUAAAAUACUGUUUGGCCAAUGGCAGCAAGUUAGAUGGGACUAGGAGUCAAAGAGGAUUCUGGGAAAUGUAGUAGAGAAGUGGUGAUCCAGGCAGGAAGUGACAUAGCAAGAAGACUCAUAUUAAGCGAAGGAAAAAUAGGAAGCGUCCCCUUUUCCCCUUGCUCCUCCAGCAGCAGGAUGUGAUUUACCACCAAGGAGGGACGCCAAUAAGGCAUCCGAUAAGGCCUUCGCCCUCCUCUCAGUCCUCCCUCUCCACUAUCAUCUCUAGCUCCUUCCUGGAAAGCCAGAGUCUUCAUUUGUUGUUGGUUGUCCAAGAAGGAGGAAGAGAACAUGGAGGGGAAUCAAAGAUUCUGUCCCAGAGGAAGCUGGGAAGAUACAAAGGAAACUUCAGUAAGACAAGAUGAAGGACAUGGGGGUGCAUAUCUCAAUAAAAAAUCUCAGUCAAAUCUUCUUGAAGCAGUCACUAUGGGCUCACAAGUGUUCAACACACAGGGAAAGAAUGGCUGUGGUUAUCUCUCCUGGGUCUCUGAGAAAUGUGGGUCAUUUACAAAGAAAAGAUUCCACAUGUCAAUUUCACAAAACAGAAUUUUAAAAUAG